rnacentral:rRNA from 1 species
UACAGAGGUCUCAAGCGUUGUUCGGAUUCAUUGGGCGUAAAGGGCGCGUAGGCUGCGGGGCAAGUCGGGUGUGAAAUCUCAGAGCUCAACUCUGAAACUGCACUCGAUACUGCUUUGCUCGAGGACUGGAGAGGAGAUUGGAAUUCACGGUGUAGCAGUGAAAUGCGUAGAUAUCGUGAGGAAGACCAGUGGCGAAGGCGGAUCUCUGGACAGUACCUGACGCUGAGGCGCGAAGGCCAGGGGAGCAAACGGG